GGAGUUCCCGCGUCUAGUGAACUUGUUUGUGGUGGUUUCUAUUUUAUCUGUAGAGGAUUCCGUCUCCGUUGUGUCUGGUGGCGCGGUGGCUUUUGUGCGCCGAAGGAAAUUGCGCCUUGCAGCCUGUGGGAAAAAUAAACGAUCAUCAUGGAAGGCGGAUGAAGAGAAGUUAUGAACCAGAGUCAUCUGGGUGAAGAAUCAAGAUAUCAAAGAAGGGGACCUUCUGGAAGUUUCCUCAAGUUUCAGGGUAGAAUUAAGAAGUUACUGAUGAGAGAUAUUGUAAAAUAAAACAAGUCAAUUUG
rnacentral:lncRNA from 1 species